GAAUUUAUAUAUUGCAAAAAAUUCAGCGGUGAUAUGCACAUCUUAGAGAAAAUUUUAAAAUAAUGUCAAGAUAAAUUCUUGACCCAAGUACAUGGGAGUACAGAACUCAGAACAUGUAAGAUUGUAACUUAUCCCAGUCCCAAGUAAGAGGGUCAGGAUACCACAUAUCCGACAAUGCUUUCCUCCAAUGUCUUGAGCUUCCUUGCACAUAGCUCAGACCUGCACAACAAAUAUUUAUAAGAUGGUGAUAAUGCAACCUGGCUACCUGAGACUCAAGUAAUUUUUUGUAUGCACCGAGGAUAAUAAACAAUGAAAAACAUUACACUAAUUGGUUAGGACCAGAAAAGGAAGUCAAGGCCAAGUACACUAUCAUCUCGCAAGUAUUGGCAACAUCUUGCUUGCUCCUGGUCAUUUCACCAAAGGAUAGAAAAAUACUCCCUCCAUCCCAAAAUAAGUGACUCAACUUUGUACUAACUUUGUACUAAAGCUAGUACAAAGUUGAGUCACUUAUUUUGAGACGGAGGGAUUAGUAAUCAAUUUGCAGACUAAUAAUUCUCACACAACAGUAAAGUAAGAUUGGUUCUUUCCAUCUCCAGCUCAGCGACAAGCACUGUAACAAUAAGCAUAUUUAUGCAACGAUAAAAAUCAGCAAGCAAUUGUCGUCUUGCCGCCCUUCUCGUCAGGGUGGGUGAGGGGGCUUGUAAUGUGUCCCAUGGCACGAGCAUCAAGCAUGGCCCCGAGCCAUCAUGUAGACAACCAGCGAAGUUCCCCAUCACUUGGCACCAUAUGAUUUCUAUUACCAUGUGGACAAAUAUUUACCUGAUAAGCACUUAAAGAAAGAAAAAUAGUCUGUCAUUCCUAUGAGCUGAUAAGUAGAUCAUCAUAUCCUUCUUUUCGCACAUGCACACCCUCUUAUUGUAGAGAUGGUGUGGGUAACAAAGAAGUUUUGCCUAUCGGUGCUGUGCAUUGCGAGAAACCUCCAGCAACAGUGAUUCUUGAUGAGAAUCCUUCCCUGGAGUGGCCAUCGAGGAUGAUAAUUCAUAUUGGGGGUAAUAUGAACAGGUUAAGUGAUACUGCUCCUCCUUUUGAGUGGGAUUGCCGAGUUAUGCCAGAAAUGAGUUUUUUUCUGAACUGAGAAGAAGCUUGUUUAGGUCUCCUCUUGAUUCUGCAUCUUCAUGAACAAAACAAAAUUACAAGAAAUCCCCAUGUUACAUGAAAUAAGCCAAAGAAAGAAACUGCAAAAAUCUAGAAAAAAAUAUGUGUAGUGGAGAACCAGAGGAAUCAACCAAGCCAGUUGACUUAUGAAGCUUUGAGAGACUUCAUGGGUGGACCUGGGUAAGCCCUUUGGGAGGGUGUUUGGUGGGGGUGGGCUUUGAUCGAUGGGACUAAUGAAACAAACGAAACAACCUAGGUACUCCCCUUUAUAUUAGAGGUUUUACACACAAAUCAAGCAAUUGAUGUUUCUGCAACUGAAUGUGCCACGACGCUCUCUCUUUCUCCAAGUCCAGUGCCUUUUCGAUUUUUGGAUCCCUUCUUCUCCAAGUCCUGCUCCCUUGUUCCUUGUACUCCUAGCUCAAGCAGUCCAAAAAAAUAUUACUCUAAAUAUAUAUAUAUAUAUAUAUAUAUAUAUAUAUAUUGCUUAUCAUGUAAGUCAAGUAUGUGAUAUCUCCAGAAACAUAAACUGGCUAGUUCAGUUUUUAGAAGUCAUUUAUCACCUGUAUUAUGUUCAAAUUACUUGUGUCCUAGUGUGCCAGUGAAAAAAAUAUGUUAUCGUUGAAGAAAGUGCAAAAAAUGACAUUCAGGCUUACAAACCUACAUUGAGCCAAUCCUCUGCUCAGUCAUCCAUUGCCGAUGAUGGCCAUGAUAGAAUAUGAAUACGUAAUUGUUAUUUGUAUUACACAUCAGUGCAUAGUUAUACAAGUUUAUUAUGCAGCAAACCAUAUGCGAAAAAAUCAGCAACGAGAAACCUAUCUACGAAACACCAUUGGAAUCACUAUCGAUUUCAUAUUCCAUUUUAAUGCCAUUGAUGCUACAUUUUUAUUAAUAUUUCAACAUAUUUAAAGGACCUUUGGUCCUUUAGGACUAACUGUUGCGAGAAUAGAAGAGUUUACAUGACUCGGGAUCAAUUCAGCACUUUCGAGCUUACAGCCUACAAUUACUUUCAGCGAAGCCAAAUAAUGGUUGAUGGAGCACAAUGUCACUUCAAAUUAUGGUCACAGCAGCAUACAAGUUUCUUAGGCCAAGAUUAGUACCACUCUUGAAAUAAAAACAAAUUGUUGGGAUCACAACAAAGUAAAUUAUGAAACAAAAAGAAUCAGUGUCUAGCUUUUAAUCAGUCGACUCCGAAAGCACCUGGUUGAGCUUCCAUAAUACCUGAACGAAUGACCUCUCAGUUCACAAGACAGAGAAACAAUACAUUGACUGGAAUAAAACAACACAAGCAUUAUUUCUUGACAGGACCAAUAUUCUCUACCUCACCUUCACUUUUUUCAAAUUCUUAAUUUAAUUACUUGGUCCAUGAAAAAAGACACAUCUUGGUAAGCCAUUGGAGCUUGGCAACUAAAAGAGGCAUUCAUCAGAACAGACUGUUUCAAACACAAAAUCAGCAUAUCUACAUUGUAGCUAUUUUAUCAUUCCAAGUAACAAAGUAGCUUCCUUGAUAAAUGCAUGAAAACUAAAAAAGGGACUGGUGAUAGUCAUCUUGGUUUAAAUUAAAUUAGAAAUAGCUGCAUGAAAGUAUCUUUUGGUUGGCUCAGACAGGGAAAAUAUUAAUAGUCCAAAAAAUUGUAAGAAAGAUGCAGUUACCUUUAACUGGUCCAACACAACUGACAUAAAGAAGGGCCAUCAUGAUGCAGGCUCGGUAAUCUACUGCCUCAAUCCGUUGUAAGGGUAACUUUAUUUGUAAGAGAUAGUACCAUUAUUAGUUUUAGUGGUCUUAUUAUUAAUUGGCUAGAUAUCUGAAAUGGCAAAUAUUGGCUUCGCUACUCAGCACUCACUCGUUUAUGCAAUUGUGGCUGAAUUUAAUCUGUCAGUGAUUCCAAUUCUUUUACAUAAUGGUUCAGAAAAGCAUCUCCAUUUGUGAUAAUUUGAAAGAAACUUGUUAAAUCUCCCAAAAAAGACCAAAGAACAAUGAAGAAAAAAUGGGCUACAGUCAUUAGAAAGUCACAACAAUAUUGUAAAGAUAGUUGAUCCAGCGGGGCAUCAAGCCUUACCUCUGUUUGGAGCUUGUCAAGCAGGUGGCUUUGUUCCAUGGCAUGGACGAGAUGAUCCUGUACAUCAUAUGCGCCCCUGAUAUU
rnacentral:lncRNA from 1 species